rnacentral:rRNA from 1 species
GCGCACCAGUCGAGAAAACUUCACACUGUGCGAAAGCACGAUGAGGGAAUCCCAAGUGCUUGCACGUAAGUGUAAGCUGUCUCUCUGUUUAAAACGCAGAGAGAGUAAGGGCUGGGUAAGACGGGUGCCAGCCGCCGCGGCAAUACCUGCAGCCCAAGUGGUGACCGUUAUUAUUGGGCCUAAAACGUCCGUAGCCGGUUUAAUAAAUGCCUGGGUAAAUCGUGUAGCUUAACUAUACGAAUUCCGGGUAGACUGUUAAACUCGAGACCGGGAGAAGUUAGAGGUACUCCUGGGGUAGAGGUGAAAUUCUGUAAUCCUAGGGGGACCACCAGUGGCGAAGGCGUCUAACUAGAACGGGUCUGACGGUGAGGGACGAAGCCCUGGGGCGCAAACGGGGAUUAGAUACCCCGGUAGU